AUUGAACGCUGGCGGCAUGCCUUACACAUGCAAGUCGAACGGUAACGGGCCUCGGGUGCCGACGAGUGGCGAACGGGUGAGUAAUGCAUCGGAACGUACCUUUCAGUGGGGGAUAACGUAGCGAAAGUUACGCUAAUACCGCAUAUUCUGUGAGCAGGAAAGCAGGGGAUCGCAAGACCUUGCGCUGAUUGAGCGGCCGAUGUCAGAUUAGCUAGUUGGUGAGGUAAAGGCUCACCAAGGCGACGAUCUGUAGCGGGUCUGAGAGGAUGAUCCGCCACACUGGAACUGAGACACGGUCCAGACUCCUACGGGAGGCAGCAGUGGGGAAUUUUGGACAAUGGGGGCGAACCCUGAUCCAGCCAUGCCGCGUGAGUGAAGAAAGGCCUCGU
rnacentral:rRNA from 1 species